CGAGGAAAAGACAUCAACCGAGAUUCCGAAAGUAGUGGCGAGCGAAAUUGGAAGAGCCUGCUAGUGAUAGCGCGAUUGCUAACAAAACGGUCUGGAAAGGCCGGCCAUAGAAGGUGAUAGCCCUGUAGGUGAAAUCACGAUGGUGGUACUAAGCGUACGAGAAGUAGGGCGGGACACGUGAAAUCCUGUCUGAAGAUGGGGGGACCAUCCUCCAAGGCUAAAUACUCGUGAUCGACCGAUAGUGAACCAGUACCGUGAGGGAAAGGCGAAAAGAACCCCGGAAGGGGAGUGAAAUAGAUCCUGAAACCGUAUGCAUACAAACAGUAGGAGCCCUGCAAGGGGUGACUGCGUACCUUUUGUAUAAUGGGUCAGCGACUUACAUUCAGUGGCGAGCUUAACCGAAUAGGGAAGGCGUAGCGAAAGCGAGUCCGAAUAGGGCGCAUAGUCGCUGGGUGUAGACCCGAAACCAGGUGAUCUAUCCAUGGCCAGGUUGAAGGCACGGUAACACGUGCUGGAGGACCGAACCCACUAGUGUUGAAAAACUAGGGGAUGAGCUGUGGAUAGGGGUGAAAGGCUAAACAAACCUGGAAAUAGCUGGUUCUCUCCGAAAACUAUUUAGGUAGUGCCUCACGUAUUACUGCCGGGGGUAGAGCACUGUUAUGGCUAGGGGGUCAUGGCGACUUACCAAACCAUGGCAAACUCCGAAUACCGGCAAGUACAGCGUGGGAGACAGAGCACCGGGUGCUAACGUCCGGACUCAAGAGGGAAACAACCCAGACCGCCAGCUAAGGUCCCAAACUAUCGCUAAGUGGGAAACGAAGUGGGAAGGCAUAGACAGUCAGGAGGUUGGCUUAGAAGCAGCCAUCCUUUAAAGAAAGCGUAAUAGCUCACUGAUCGAGUCGUCCUGCGCGGAAGAUGUAACGGGGCUAAGCGAUAGACCGAAGCUGCGGGUGUGUACGCAAGUACACGCGGUAGGAGAGCGUUCCGUAAGCCUGCGAAGGUGGCUUGUAAAGGCUGCUGGAGGUAUCGGAAGUGCGAAUGCUGACAUGAGUAGCGAUAAAGGGGGUGAAAAGCCCCCUCGCCGUAAGUCCAAGGUUUCCUGCGCAACGUUCAUCGGCGCAGGGUGAGUCGGCCCCUAAGGUGAGGCAGAGAUGCGUAGCUGAUGGGAAGCUGGUUAAUAUUCCAGCACCGUCGUAUGGUGCGAUGGGGGGACGGAUUGCGGAAAGUCAUCAGGGUGUUGGAAGUCCCUGUUGCUGCAUUGGAGAGGGCGCUUAGGUAAAUCCGGGCGCAGGACUCAAGGGUGUGGCGCGAGUGAGCUUGCUCACGAAGUGACUGGAAGUGGUUCCAAGAAAAGCCUCUAAGCUUCAGCCAUACGAGACCGUACCGCAAACCGACACAGGUGGACGGGAUGAAUAUUCCAAGGCGCUUGAGAGAACUCAGGAGAAGGAACUCGGCAAAUUGAUACCGUAACUUCGGGAGAAGGUAUGCCCUGGUAGUGUGAGGCGCCUGCGCGCUGAGCAUGAAGGGGCCGCAGAGAAUCGGUGGCUGCGACUGUUUAUUAAAAACACAGCACUCUGCUAAGACGAAAGUCGACGUAUAGGGUGUGACGCCUGCCCGGUGCCGGAAGGUUAAUUGAUGGGGUGCAAGCUCUUGAUCGAAGCCCCGGUAAACGGCGGCCGUAACUAUAACGGUCCUAAGGUAGCGAAAUUCCUUGUCGGGUAAGUUCCGACCUGCACGAAUGGCGUAACGAUGGCCACAC
rnacentral:rRNA from 1 species